ACUCACACUGGCCAUCUCCACUGGAGAGGAUAGUUCGCAAAAUAGCUUUCCUUCGGUAAAGUUAUUCCUGGGAAAGAACACAACAAAACAGACGAGUGACCGAUUAAACUCUAACAACAGACAACCGAGGUAACGUCCACUCUUCGAAGAUGUGUCCUCCACUACGUCAGGACCAAAGUCCAAGCUCUCCCCGUACCCUAAGGAGGCCAGAACUCGCCCCCAUGCCGGGCACAGAUCCCCCAGCCCGGAGCUGGCAGUGCAGCUCAGAGCCCUUCCGGUUUACAGCCGCGGAAAAACAACUCCGACUAGGUCGGGGCGGGGAAUGGGGGCUGGGCGGCCAAAAUUCAGUCCCGAGGAUCGAAGCGGCUGCUUUAACAGAGGUUGGGGCUGCGUAACAACAGCUCCAGGCAAAGCUUCGGGCUGAUCUGAAGGAUGAGGAAGCAGAAAAGAGACUAAAGACAGAGGGACAGGAUGGCUGGGGACAACGACAGGGACCCAGUGAAAAUACGGGCAAUACCCAGGGCUGUAACCCUAACACGGGCAAAUUUGGAGGGGCUAACAUGGGCAGAAACCAUCCGUACCAGUCACCACCACUGUCUCCAGCUGUCCCAGAACCUGACUCUUCCUGCCAUCAAAAUGGCGGCGGCGACGGCAGCGGUGGUAGCACCUACGCCGGCGGUGACCAGGCAAAAGAAGUUGCUUCCGAGCGCGUUGAAACGAUGAUGCGCACGCGCAAAGUAGGCCUACGUGGAGCCGACCUGCCAUUGGGGCACCUGAUGGAAUAAACUGCUGUGAGAGGGAGUAUUGAGAAGAGCCAUUUCCUCAUCAUAAGGAUGCAGUAGCCAUAAUUAUUCCAAUCAUCCAAAAGAGAAGACUUUAAAGUACAAUAGUUAGCCAUCAAAAAAAGAAGGCUAAUAUCCAGUUAUGAGAGCAUUUUCCCAAGGUCACAUUACAGACUUCUUCACCCAGCAGCCAGGGGGAUUAAUUUAAAGCAUAAAUGAAUCCAGACCAUGUUCUUUGCUGCUCUGAAUCAUCAAAUGAUGUCCUGUGGUAUGCAGAAUUCAAAGAUGGCCCUCAGAUUUCCACACCCUCAUGUAAAACAUCUUGUAUAAUUAUUUGGAAGAAUAACCUCUUGAAGGUUAACGGGACUUGCAAAUAUGAUGUGAUUUCAUUCAAGAUUGUUACAGUAUAUCACAAAAUGGAUUUUGUAAAUGUAAUUAAGGUCCCAAUUCAAACCUUGCCUUCAGCUAAUUAAAAGGGGCAUUAUCCUGAGCAGGCCUGAGCUAAUCGAAUGAGCCCUUCAGAGAGAUCCAGGUCUUCCUGGAGGUCAGAGAGAUUUGUUGUCAGCAAGAUGUUCCCCUGCUGUCCUGGAAGAAAGCAGCCAUGUUGAUGGAAGGAGGGGAGGAAGAGACAGUUGGGAAAGAUCUGAGAGCAGCUUCUAGGAGCUGUGAGUCAUCCUUGGCUGACAUCCAACAAAAAGAUGGAGACCUCAGGCCUACAACCACAGGGAAAUGAAUUCUACCAAUGACCUGAAUAAGAUGGAAGAGCACCCCAAGCCUCAGAUGAGAACAUAGUCCCUGCCAACACCUGGCUUGUAGCCUGGCCAGACUCGGAACAGAGAUGCUUGCAAUGCCAUGCUAGAUUCCUGACCCAUAGGAACUUGAAUUUUGACCAGACUGAGACAUACUACAAAGGACAGUUGCCAGAAACAACACCCAAAGAUACUUCUCCCCUGGACCUUGUUCCUAGGUUCCGUGUGAAGCUGAACACUCUGCAUGAUCUCCCUGCCACCACAGCAAGCUAUGAAGUUCAUUACAUAUGCAGCAGAUCACUGUGGAGGCUCUGUCAUUUGUUGGUUGAAGAGAAGUCACACAUGGAAGGAGAAAGACCAGUUAGAGGGCUAUUGUAACAAUUCCAGUAAGAGAUGAUGGUGCCUCAGUGAAAGUGAUGAAAAGUGGGAUAAUUCUGGACCUAUUUUCAAGGUAGAACCGGUAGGGUUUUUAAAAUAACGUGAAUGUGGGAUAUAAGUAAAAGAAAGGAGUCAAGAAUGUCUCCAAGGUUUUGGGCAUAAGCAACUUUAGUUUCCAUUAAAUUAGGUAGUAGAUAUUAUUUUACAGAUAAUAGUUUACAUAUUAUUUUCUGCAUGAUUGUCCAUGCAGAAAGUCCAAAUAAAUAUAUAGGUAAAUUAGUAUAAUUAAUACAUGUUAAUUUAGUGCCAGAUGCAAGUCAAUCUAUAAAAAACACUUGUAUUUAUACACACCAAAAACAAAAAUAAAACUUUCAAAAUACUAUAAUAAUUGCAUAAUUUGUUAGGAUUAAAUCUAAAUUAAAUGAUCUAAACAGCCAGGGUUAAAUCCAUAUAAAAUAGCUUAGAUAUAAUUGCAUUAACUCUAACAGUUUCAUGGUCUUUAUAUAAGUAUUUUAGACAUUAUUACAGGUAAUUAAAGAUGACCUCAAUCAAUGAAGAGCUAUGUCAAAUUUUGAGAAUUCUCUCCCAAAUCUAUCUAUGAAAUUAAUGAACCCCCUACAAAUCUAAGCACAAUUAUUUAAUGAAAUGAGUAAAUGGAUUCUAAAAUGUAUAUGGAAAACAGAGAACCAAGAACAGCAAAGAUAAUAUUGAAGAAGAGAAUAAAAAAUCAGGACUUAAAAAUAGAAAAGCAGAUAAAUAUACAAUAAUUAAACAAAUAUACUAGUAGUGUGAGAAUAGACAAAGACCCAAAGGAACAGAAUAGAGAGGAUGAAAACUAACCCAAGCGUGCAUGAAUACUUGGUUUAUGACAAAAUAGUUCAGCAGAGCAAUGAAGAAAGGAAAGUAUUUUCAAUAAUAUUUGGAUAUUCAAAUGAAAAAAUAAAAUUUAACCAUUGUUUCGUAACACUAGUUUGAAACUAAUGUUUCAAACAUUGGUUCUAUUUAAACUCUAACUGAGAAAGGUAAAAACCAUGCAGACUUUAAAAAGUUACUUAGGAUAAUGUGUUUGUGUUGUUGGGAUAAAAAAAGAAUAGAAAUAUAAUAAUCAUCAAGGGAAGGACUGACAUUUUGUCAAUAUAUUAAAAUUAAGAACUUCUCUUUAUCAAAAGAUACCACUAAGAGAGUGAAAAAGUAAGUCAAAGAGAGGGACAGAAUAUUUGUAGCAUAUGUAAUCUAAAAAAGGACUGUUCUUCAGAAUUCCUUCAAAUCAGUAAGAAGGUAGAUAACUCAAUAGAAAAAUGGGCGAGAAACUUGACUAUUGUUAGAAGCUUAUUUAAAAGGUCAACAAAUAUAUGAAACAAUCCCCCAACUUCUUUAAUCAUCAAGGUAACAUGAAUUUAAAUCUCCGGGAAUUAUAACUACAUGACCACCAGAAUGAUGAAAAAAAUGAAACAAACUCACUUUGCCAGGCAUUGGUGAAGAGAUGGAGCAUGGGAAGGCCCGUGAACUGCUGGAGAGAGUGUAAUUUGUACACCUACUUGAGAAGAUCAUUUGUCAUUGUCUACUCACAAUGUUGAAUGUGCUCAUCCACGAACCCGCACUUUUCCAUUUAGGUAUAUCUUCUACAGAAAUGCUUGCACGUGUCCUCUGAAGACCUGUACAAGAAUAUCAGAGCAAGAUUAUUUGUGUAGUAUCCCCAAGCUGAAAACAAUUCAAAUGUCCACCAAUGAAGGAGUGACUAAAGAUUUUUGUGUGUUUAUAAAGUAGAAUCUUUUUCAGCAACGAAAAUAAAUGAACUAUGUAUGUACAAAAACGAUGAUUUUCAUAGCUAUACUGGUACAAAAACGGAUAAUUUUCAUAGCUAUACUGGUGAACAAUAGCCAAGCACACAAUCACAUACACUGUAUGACUUGAUUUAUAUAAAGUUCCCAGAGAGACAAAAAUAAUCUAUGGCGUUAGAAAUAAGACACUAUUACCUCUGAAGAGAGAAGGAAUUACUUAGAGGAGACACAGAAGAGGCUUCUGGGGUCUGAUAAUGUACUGUUUCUGAUGGAAUCUACUUUGUAUGUUCACUAGGUGAUAAGUCUUCAAGCUGCAUAUUUACAAGGCAUACUCUUUUUAAUAUUCAGAUAAUUUAAUAUUCAAGUAAAAAGAUAAAUCUAUCAGUAUCUGAAUCCUAGAUUUUGGUAUUUUGUAUAAUGGGUGUCUAAUUGUGUACUAAGUAGAUGGAAUGAAAUUGAUUGUCCUUGGAUGUUCAGUCAAGUGAUGGCACAUUCUCUCACAUUUGUGCUUGAAGGUUAAAUUUGAAUUGAGAUCUGCAUCAUAAGCUCGAAAACACUGAGUGUAUGCAGGUUUUCAAUGUUUUUCUAUUAUUUAUGCCAUUUCACUCCUUUUCUAUUUCUUUUAUUCAAUAAUUUUAUGAAAUGAUUGACACAAAGACCUAGAAAAUCUUCCUGUAAACUGAAUUGAUGGUUCUUUCCUAGCUGUAAUAGAGGACAUCAUUCUUCUUUUAUAAUGCUAAAUGCCAGCUGAAGACAGGAAUAUUUAUACUCAGGAACACAGCAGUCGGUGCUGUUACAGGUUCAGAUUAUUCCUCCCGUCUCUUAAAGGUUAUGGUCUGAACACAGGGCUCUUUUUCAAGGCAUACAUCUUGAACUGUCUGAAACAAUUGCUAAACCAAAUAAUCAUUUGCCAACAAAUGCUCU